GAAGAGGGGAACGAAACCUUACUUAGAAGGGUGUGUAAGAGAUUUCCUUACAAGGGGUGGAAACCUCCCCUUAGAAGAUGCAUUUUAAAACCGGAAUAAAGGUAGCGGGAGGGAAAUAUGAAUAUGAAUGAAGUGUUGUUUCUUUUCCUUGGGAUUGUGCUUUUAUAAUGAGGGUAGAGAUCAUCCCUGGUGAAUAUUAUUAUAUUCAGGUACGAUUUCCCCUGGAGUGUAACCAAACUCAUACCAUUUUACGGUGGUGCGGACCAUCAUGAUUACCAUCACUAUGUUGGAGGACAAAGCCAUAGCAACUUUGCUUCAGUAUUUACCUACUGUGAUUAUAUUUACGGAACUGACAAGGGAUACCGCUACCAAAAGAAGAUCCUUAAGAAGUUGAAGGAAGAAGCGAAGAUCAGUGAAGCAUCAUACUACAGCAUAGCCCAAGAUGUUAAAUCAGACUAGACAAUGAUAAGGGAUUCAUAUGUUGAAAGACGGGUUUUUCGGGUUGGUAGCGAUGUUACGUAAUCUCUGAUUUGAAGAUGACUUAAUCGGGAUCCAUAUGAUCGUCGUCGAGGUAGUUAGGGAAGGGACUGGGAUGGGAUGGGAUGGGAAUUAGCUAGGGGUGUGUGGUUUAACCUUGUUGUGCAGACAAUACUCUUAAUAUAAAUAUGUAUUUUGGUUGUGAACUUGUUGAUAUAUUUGGUUAUGUUAGAUAUCGAUUUU